rnacentral:rRNA from 1 species
CCCUUAGAUGUUCUGGGCUGCACGCGUGCUACACUGGUAUUGCCAAUAUGUCAUUCUUAUCCGAAAUGGAUUGGGUAAUCAAGUAAUGAAAUUUCAUGCUUGGAAUCGGUAAUUGCAAUUUUAUCGUGAACGAGGAAUUCCUAGUAAGCACUAGUCAUCAGCUAAUGUUGAUUAUGUCCCUGCCCUUUGUACACACCGCCCGUCGCUACUACUGAUUGGGUGUUCAAGUGAGAUGCUUAGACCCUUGUUGCAUGGUCCAUUAUUGUGCUCCGAAAGGAAAAAGUUUCAAGCUUGAGUGUCUAGAGGAAGUAAAAGUCGUAACA